rnacentral:lncRNA from 1 species
GGACCGUGAGUCAGAAGGAGGAAUGCGAGCUCCCCCUGUGCGAGCCCCCAUGCUUUCUACUUUGGAAAGACCGCGGAGCCUCCAGGCGGAGGAGAGGCCAGUGCAUUCUCUGCAGAGAGCGCCAGAAUAUUCCAGAAGCCUGCAAAAAUUACAAGCAUAAUUCUUGACGUAAGCAAAACGUCUCUUCCUCCUGCUUGGGGGAGGACGACCACCUAGGGACGAUACAGCUCCCCGCUGGGGUUUGGACCAGAUGCAGGGGACGAAGGCCAGGAGGGCACUAAGAUUGGCUCCCUUCUCUGCUCAGCACACACACCCACACACACUGUAUGUCAUUGUCUCAGCCAAGGGGGAGCAACACGUUUCAAGUGUAGCCAAGCCCAGGAACAUACUUUUAUGGAAUUCAACAAGCUAG